rnacentral:lncRNA from 1 species
GUUGACUUGUUAUUCCAUAGAGAUCAUGCAGUCCAACAAAAGUUCAUUUCACAAAGCUGGAUACCUCAGCAGUCCCAAUGUGGCCCUGAGGGCUUGCAGGUACUUAAGUCACUGAUCUGUUCAUCUGGUACUUAAGUCCAGAUUGGAAGGCCAAGGAAGCUGGAGUCUGGUGACAGAAGCAGCAGCAGCAACUACAGGCAGACACACUCACCAGCAAGAAUGGAAUGCCGAAACUGCCAUCACCUAUGAACACGAAUGCCUUUCUGCAACUGCAAAUUCCUUUAGGGAAACACAGCGCUGGAAGCCAAGCAGUCAACACAAGGGACAUACAGCGCCUGUUUCAAGCCGUUGCUCUGACACUUACCAACUGCGUGACCUUGUAUGAAGUACCUGAGCUCUCUUGAUUGCUAGUUUCCUCACCUGUAAAAAGAGAGACAGAGAGUGCAUUCGUUACUUCAGAGGGUCACUGCACUGUCACCACGCUUUGACACCAACAAGUGGGAAUGGGGUCAGGUGGAGGAGAC